GUUCUGGAGGCUGGGAAGUCCAAGAUAAAGUGCCAGCAGGUUCAAUGUCUGGUAAGGGCUCAUUGCACAGAGAUGGUACCUCUUGCUGCAUUCUCACAUGGUAGAAGGGAGCAAACAGCCUCCUUUUAAUCUCCUUUACAUUAUCCCAUUUAUGAAGGCAGUCUUCAUGACUUAAUCACUUCCCCCAAAGUCUCCACCUCCAUGCUAUGACAUUGAGGAUUAAGUUUCAGCCUAUGAUUUUGGAAAGCAUACCAACAUUCAGACCAUAGAACCAGCCAAUGAGAUUGUGGGCUAUUCUUCCACCAUACUCAAUGGGCAAAGACAUGGAGUAGGGCAGAGAGCUGGAUUUAACCAGGGUUGGAGUUUGGCCAAGUGAGUUUAAAGUACAAUUAAAAGGACAAGGGAGUUUGGGAUCUAUUCAAGAGGGUGACUAUGAUGGACCAUCCAAUUUCAGUUGGAUAAGGAAGUUGAGGACAGCAAGUCACAGUCACAGUCUGAGCCAAUUCUCAGUGGCCAGGGCUAUAGAAGGACACAGGCCAUAAGAAGAUAAGGAGGAACCUUGCACUGCUGGCCUCUGACAGCUAAAUAAUGGCUCCCAAAGAUGUGUCUACAUCCUAAUCUCCAGAAUCUGUGAAUGUUACUUUAUGUGGCAAGAGAGAGGCUGAAGGAGAUUUGGUACCAACAGAAGAGGAGGAGGAAAUUGUGAUCAUGCAGAAACUGGAGUGAUGGAGUCACAAGCCAAGGAAUGCCAGCAGCCACCAGAAGCCGAAAGAGGCCCUGCCAACACCUUGAUUUAGGCCUAAUGAAACUGAGUUUAGAUUUCUGGACCCCAGAACUGUGAAAGAAUAAAUUUCUGUUGUGUUAAGCCCCUAA
rnacentral:lncRNA from 1 species